GCGUCGGUGGUGCAACGGCUUAGCACAUACUCCCAGAAAGAGUAAGAUCUGAGUUCGAAUUCCAGCUGACGCA